rnacentral:rRNA from 1 species
AUUGAACGCUGGCGGCAGGCCUAACACAUGCAAGUCGAGCGGAAACGAAGGGAGCUUGCUCCCAGGCGUCGAGCGGCGGACGGGUGAGUAACACGUGAGAAUCUGCCCAUUAGUGGGGGACAACUCGGGGAAACUCGAGCUAAUACCGCAUAAUCCCUACGGGGGAAAGCAGGGGACCUUUUGGCCUUGCGCUGAUGGAGGAGCUCACGUCGGAUCAGCUUGUUGCUGAGGUAAAGGCUCACCAAGGCGACGAUCCGUAGCUGGUCUGAGAGGAUGAUCAGCCACACUGGGACUGAGACACGGCCCAGACUCCUACGGGAGGCAGCAGUGGGGAAUCUUGGACAAUGGGGGCAACCCUGAUCCAGCCAUGCCGCGUGUGUGAAGAAGGCCUUCGGGUUGUAAAGCACUUUCAGCAGGGAGGAAGGCUUUGGCCGAAUAGGUUGAAGUACUUGACGUUACCUGCAGAAGAAGCACCGGCUAAUUUCGUGCCAGCCGCCGCCGUAA